UGGCGAGCGGGUGAGUAACACGUGGGUGAUCUGCCCUGCACUCUGGGAUAAGCCUGGGAAACUGGGUCUAAUACCGGAUAGGACCAUGCUUUAGUGUGUGUGGUGGAAAGUUUUUUCGGUGUAGGAUGAGCCCGCGGCCUAUCAGCUUGUUGGUGGGGUAAUGGCCUACCAAGGCGGCGACGGGUAGCCGGACUGAGAGGUUGGUCGGCCACAUUGGGACUGAGAUACGGCCCAG
rnacentral:rRNA from 1 species